GUCUUUCUGGGAUGUUUAGAUCAAGAAUUAUUGAUAGCUGGAAAUUUGGAUAUUAAGCAUAAGGAAAAAAAUGAGGCCUAGAGAUACAGAUUUGGAAAUCAGUAUUUCAUUGUUGGUAGUAAAAGCUGUGAGAAUAAAUGACAUUUCCUGUAAGAAGGAGAUAAAAAUCCUAUUAGAAAAUAUACUUAUUCCUGUUUCUAGAAUUUUGAUGCUUCAUUCAAGUGACUAUAAACCAGCAAUGGAGAAGAAACUAGAGAGUUUCUCCCUGUAAAUAAUUCUUGUGGUAAAUUCAGGAAUGGGGAAGCCUUCUUUGGAAAACAGCCUUCUUCCUUGGUAAUGACUGGAGAUGAAGUUAAACAUUCCAUAGAUCUGUUUAAGAAUGCAUUGAAGUAUCUUUUUUAUUAUGAAAAUCCAUUCAUAUAAAAAUAUGUAUAAGCGGCUUCAAUAUGUCAGGCCUUCUUUUCUAAGCUCUGGGUUAAAAUAAUAGCAAAUACAAUGAAUCCCUGAUACAAUGGAGCUUAUUGGAAGAUUGACACAAGUAAUUAUAAUAUAGUAUGGUAAAUGAUAAUAGGGAAGUGUCGGAUGAUAUGAGAGCCUACAUACAUCAGGAGCACAUGACUCAGUGGGAGACAUGGGAUGACCUUCCUAAGGAAGUAACAUUUAAACUGAGAUCAGAAGACUGAGUGGAGGUGACCUACAAAAAGAGGAAAAGAUGGGCAUGCAAGCAGUGUCUUAGAGGG
rnacentral:lncRNA from 1 species